UAUGUAAUCACGUAACAGCAAUUUACAUCCAAUCUGACUCAAAAUAAAGGUAGUGGGAUUUUGUUGUUAUGUGGUCUGUCAUUUGUAUACUCCAGUUAAAAAAUGGACUUGCAUUUGGGCAAAACAAGAAUUGACAAAAGACAAGAAAAGAAACCAACAAAAAAGAGAUCUAUGUAUACCCCCGCAAGAAGUUCUUUUUGGUUGCUUGGCUCGGAUGGCGGUUUGACUGGUUCCACCAGUUUCCGUUUUGAAAUUCAUUUCAGUUUUCGUUUUCGUUUGAGCUUCUUUCACACCAAAGACCCAAAGAACGAUGCGCAGAAGAUUGAGUGACGACAACAAAAGUAACAACAACAACCACAACAACACCGAGAAGAAGAGCAACAACUAUUUAAAAACAAAUACCAUUUAUUGAUGUGAUAAUCUAAAGAUCAAGGUCUUCCUUUUGCCAUUUCAAUAAAUUGUUUUUGUCUUCGUUGUGUGUACAAUCUUUUUUCUA